UACGAAGGGGGCUAGCGUUGCUCGGAAUGACUGGGCGUAAAGGGCGCGUAGGCGGAUGGUACAGUCAGAUGUGAAAUUCCUGGGCUCAACCUGGGGGCUGCAUUUGAUACGUGCUGUCUUGAGUUCGGAAGAGGGUCGUGGAAUUCCCAGUGUAGAGGUGAAAUUCGUAGAUAUUGGGAAGAACACCGGUGGCGAAGGCGGCGACCUGGACUGUAACUGACGCUGAGGCACGAAAGCGUGGGGAGCAAACAGG
rnacentral:rRNA from 1 species